ACCCGCUGAACUUAAGCAUAUCAAUAAGCGGAGGAAAAGAAACCAACAGGGAUUGCCCUAGUAACGGCGAGUGAAGCGGCAACAGCUCAAAUUUGAAAUCUGGCUCUUUUAGAGUCCGAGUUGUAAUUUGCAGAGGGCGCUUUGGCUUUGGCAGCGGUCCAAGUUCCUUGGAACAGGACGUCACAGAGGGUGAGAAUCCCGUACGUGGUCGCUGGCUAUUGCCGUGUAAAGCCCCUUCGACGAGUCGAGUUGUUUGGGAAUGCAGCUCUAAAUGGGAGGUACAUUUCUUCUAAAGCUAAAUAUUGGCCAGAGGCCGAUAGCGCACAAGUAGAGUGAUCGAAAGAUGAAAAGCACUUUGGAAAGAGAGUCAAACAGCACGUGAAAUUGUUGAAAGGGAAGCGCUUGCAGCCAGACUUGCUUACAGUUGCUCAUCCGGGCUUUUGCCCGGUGCACUCUUCUGUAGGCAGGCCAGCAUCAGUUUGGGCGGUAGGAUAAAGGUCUCUGUCACGUACCUCUCUUCGGGGAGGCCUUAUAGGGGAGACGACAUACUACCAGCCUGGACUGAGGUCCGCGCAUCUGCUAGGAUGCUGGCGUAAUGGCUGU
rnacentral:rRNA from 1 species